rnacentral:rRNA from 1 species
GAUGAACGCUGGCGGCGUGCCUAAUACAUGCAAGUCGAGCGAACAGACGAGGAGCUUGCUCCUCUGACGUUAGCGGCGGACGGGUGAGUAACACGUGGAUAACCUACCUAUAAGACUGGGAUAACAUCGGGAAACCGGAGCUAAUACCGGAUAAUAUAUUGAACCGCAUGGUUCAAUAGUGAAAGACGGUUUUGCUGUCACUUAUAGAUGGAUCCGCGCCGCAUUAGCUAGUUGGUAAGGUAACGGCUUACCAAGGCAACGAUGCGUAGCCGACCUGAGAGGGUGAUCGGCCACACUGGAACUGAGACACGGUCCAGACUCCUACGGGAGGCAGCAGUAGGGAAUCUUCCGCAAUGGGCGAAAGCCUGACGGAGCAACGCCGCGUGAGUGAUGAAGGUCUUCGGAUCGUAAAGCUCUGUUAUUAGGGAAGAACAAAUGUGUAAGUAACUAUGCACGUCUUGACGGUACCUAAUCAGAAAGCCACGGCUAACUACGUG